rnacentral:rRNA from 1 species
UACGGGGGAGCAAGCGUUGUUCGGAUUUACUGGGCGUAAAGGGCGUGCAGGCGGUCCGUUAAGUUCAGGUGAAAGCUCCCGGCUCAACUGGGAGAGGUCCUUGGAUACUGGCGGACUCGAGGGAGGUAGAGGAAAGUGGAAUUCCCGGUGUAGUGGUGAUAUGCGUAGAUAUCGGGAGGAACACCAGUGGCGAAGGCGGCUCUCUGGGCCUUUCCUGACGCUGAGACGCGAAAGCGUGGGAGCGAACCGG